UUGGAGAAUUGAGCCCUGCCUGGUUUAUUUGGCCACAGGAAGCAGAACACAAUGCUCUCGGCAUCCGAUAAGCAGCCAAAGGACAUCGGCAAAUGUGCUCGAUCCAGCAGAGGUGGUGUGUAACUCGCCUACACUCCUUGCCCACUUCAACUGUCAGGGCUGCUGUGAGCUAGACAGGAGGACCCCCAUUGUUCAGACUCGACCCUUCGGUCAGGCCCUCAACAGCUGUUUCCCGAGCUGAAGUGCAUCUCAUUAGUCAGUGGAGCCACGACAGCCGAUGCCAGGACCCGCAGAAUAAAAAACCGACCUGCCACCCUUCCUGUGCCAGACUGAGGCCCCGCGGAGUUGCUCAGCCUUUGUUCUCUGCGUCAAAACUGGAGAGCACUUCAUCUCUCGGCCACUAGGGGGCGGUGAUUGUCCACACAUCGCAUUUUCCCUCGGAGCCGCCCAGCAUCCACCCGGGAAAUGGGGACGUUGUGGAGGAGGACUUUGAUAAGGAAAGGUCGUGGCAAAACCUUUAAGGUAGCAAGUUCGGAUUCUCUGGAGCAUCGAGUUUAAGAAUGGAUCUUUAGGUGCAAGGAUAUUUGGAUUAGGAAAGGAACUGGAUUCGGACCCCAGGCCUGAUCCACCCAGCUCUAGUGCCUCAUAUGUACAGUGGGAUAAUACAGUUUGUCACUCCAGCCUCACACAGCAAUCACAAGGUUGGUUUGAAUGGGACACAGGAGGUAACAGAGCUCCUAAAUUGCAUGGUGUGUGAAGAUGCGAGGUUUUGAUCACAGUUGCUGCUGCUUCUGGCCUUCGUUUCCAGUAUCCUUCCUGCCCUGGGGCAGGGUGCAGCUGGCUCCUUGUCAAAGGUGGCUGCUCUGUGGUCAUCCUGUGUCCCUACAUCUGAGGACUGAAGGGCCACAGGGAGGCGGGGAAGCUGGGAGAGGGCUCGCGGUGGUUCCCAGGGUGAACUGCUGGGAUCUGGUCCUCACAGCAGCUCACUGUGUAACCCUGGGUGUCUCAUGGUGGACAGGUAAGUGGGAUCUCUGUGUGUCCUUCCAGCUCCGUCUUUCCACACCUCCCAGUCUUCAGAGUUCUCUGAGCUGACCUGAUAGGGGAGGCAGUGACAAGGAAGGAGAGAUGACAGACAUGGGCAGUUGAUGUGUGUGGGGAGGCGGGGGAGUAGCCCCUGAUACACAAGGAACCCAGGGACAAGUGUUUCUCCCAGUAUUUGGGCCUUGACACUCAUCUGUGGGAUGGGCAGGUUGGACUAGUCAUCUCUAACCAUGGCUUUCUUCCAACCUUGUCCCAAUAAACACACAUAGAUCCCUACUGACGCUAAAACCAUUAAAAAUACUCAGACACGCUAAAACCCUUGGCUGCUUCUGAUCUCUAUGGUACUCCACAGUGUCCCAGCUGAGCAGUGGAUGGGGACCAUGAACUCACGUGUGACCUUUCUCCCUCCUGUUCACUCAAGGAGAAAUGAUAGGACACUGUUCCAAUCAGAUGACGGCAGUGAGGAUGGGGCAGCGGGUUGUCUCCCUGAUGCUGGCUCCUGGGUCCAUCUGCAAAGCAGCUCCCCUUCCAUCCCACAGUCGUGCCCUUGUCCAGCCUCUGAUGUCCUGCUCUCCAGGUGACCAAAGCUGUGCUUAGCUGUGUGUUGGAACAUGGUCCCUUUGUGGAUCUGUAGCCCCUGGAACAUUGGUUUUCUGUAUCAUAUUUCUUCGGUUUUGUCUUCCAAUGCUUCCAUUGAUUUUUAAAUUUUGGUGCAGAUAUAAAGAAAACUGAAGUUUAUGGAAUGUAGGAAAAUCCAUCUGAAAACUCCCCAGAGUGGCACCAGAGAUUGUAAUAUUGGUUGCACAAAGAAAGAAUCUCAUUGGCAGCACACUGCUUGGCCCAGCAGUGAAUGAUGCCUAUGUGGUCACCCAAGCCCAGAGCACCAGAGAUUUAAUCAUGGUCACUGAAGCGUAUGAGAGAAUCAGCAAACUUGACCAGAACCCAAAGAAGCAAAACAGAAAGGGAAAAGUAAAGCCGAAAGAAGCCAGGAAGCAGAGCAGAAGAGAUGGAAGGAAAGGAAGUGGCUAGUAGCAGGAGUCAAUAAAUAAAUGCCUAAAAUUGAUGUUACAAGAAACAGAGGUUUGAGUAUUUUAUGUCAACUUGCAAAUGUUAGAUGUUAGUGCCUCUUGCCAAGUUAUUUUUGACUCUCCUUUGUUCUGGAUACUUCCUGUGGUUGGAUGGGGCCAUGUGAUUAGUAUUGGUAAUUGCAUUGUGCACCUAAAAAAGGUGAAUUGCUUCCAGGGUGAAUAUUUCAUCACUUAUGUGAUCCCCCUUCUUUCUGGAUUGUGACCAGCCUUGUGUGAGAUUAUGGCUGUCUCUUCAGUCUUGAUCUUUUAAUAAUUAAAAUAUGUAGAUUCAACUUUCCCCAUAGACCUGCAGUAGACAUGUAUCUUGAAU